rnacentral:piRNA from 2 species
UUGAGCUCAGUGACCAUGGGCCCUGAGAGU